GUUAAGUCAAAUGUGAAAGACCCGGGGCUCAACCUCGGAAUUGCAUUUGAAACUGGCAAACUAGAGUACUGUAGAGGGGGUAGGAAUUUCAGGUGUAGCGGUGAAAUGCGUAGAGAUCUGAAGGAAUACCGGUGGCGAAGGCGGCCCCCUGGACCAGAUACUGACACUCAGAUGCGAAAGACGUGGGGAGACAAACAGGAUUAGAUACCCUCGGUAG
rnacentral:rRNA from 1 species